rnacentral:ncRNA from 2 species
UUAAUGGAGAGUUUGAUCCUGGCUCAGGACGAACGCUGGCGGCGUGCCUAAUACAUGCAAGUCGA